AUCACACUCAUUCUAUCUAAGAGGAGAAAGUUUGAGGUUGGUAUUAGAACCAAUGGGAAGAAGAUGGAGAGAAGAUGAAUCUCAUCUAAAGAAGAGUUUUGUUAUGACCAGAGGCAUCUGAAGUGGAGUAGGCAUUCCCAGGAGCAUGAUGAGCUGUCCAUCCCUAGGAACGUUCGAGAAGAGGCUGAGGGAUUAACAACCAGAAGCUUUCAGACAAAGGAGAUUGGCAGGACAAAGAGAAGUACAAGGAGUGAGAUUGUGACCUGAGGAUGUUCGAAAACAGCUCAUCCCUGGGAAGGACAUACGAAAUAAACAAGAAGCAACAACCGAAUCUCCUUUCAAAUCCACACUGUCCUUAAUUUAUAUGGCAACGUGAGUUCCUGCAUUUCACUUCAUGCAGGUUCUUUGUCUUCUCCUAGUCCUUCAAUUCAGUUUGGCACAUUCUGACCAUCUAGGAGGGUUUUGCACUCUAUCUGCUGUAUGAAUUCGGAAGUGCCUUGUUAGAUGACUGCGGCAUGUAAUAAAAAUUACAACAAAACGAUGAAUGUGGACAAAGCCCAGGUCUGAGGACUGCUUAGUCACUGCUUCAUUGAAUCCUGGUAACGAUCUUAUGCGGUAACUUAUUAUUGACCCCAGUGCAAAUGAGGAUGCUUAUCAAGCCCCACUAAUGCUUACCAACCCUCCAUUUUGAAAGUGACCUAAUCUGCUGAGUGAGCUGCAGGGCCAGGAUCCAACACCAGGUAUGUCAGAUGCCACUGCCGGCUGUCUUAGUAACAUGCUUUAUGUGACAGAGGAAGAAGGAGUGACGGAAAUCU
rnacentral:lncRNA from 1 species